CAGAUCAAUGGUUCUUUUCUUCUUUCCAUAUGUUGAACCUGCAUCACAUUCUGCCACAUUAUGUACAUUAUUUCCUCUGAACAUUGAACAUGCACUUGUAACCCGUAAUUAGUCAAUUAGUCAGACUUUUAUUUUUACGGGCCCACUUCCUGUCUUGCCCCAAACUCUUCAACUUAUUUAAAGCCCCGCCUCCAGCGCAGUUUGAACACUACCUGUUUCACUGUGAUUGUGACUGGCUGUUGGCGUCUUGCUGAUCAUCUCUCCUUGGCAAAUUCACCCAAAUCUCUGAAACAACUGAUUUGAACUAUUGAACUGUUGGCAGUUGUUGCCUGGGCCGUCACCGGGAUUCACAGCUGAUCGCAGUCUAGCACUCUCAGUUCAAAGACCUUCACAGCGGAGACGACGAUACGAUUCGGAGUGUCUGCAGCCGCGUCACGUUGGGGUUUACGAGACGUCGAACUGUCCUUCAGACGCACGCAACCCCGUAACCAACAAAUCAAAACCCGAAAGUACAACAAGCCAAGCACAACGAACCAGAAAUGAGCAGUAAUUCAGACAAAGAGCUCCUCGGAGGAACAUGACAGUCAUGUCUUCCUGCUGGCACGUGUCACUGUGGGCGCGCGCCGGGCCAAUGACAAGUGGAGGCAAGAGGAGGCCAAGCAGGGAAAGAGGAGUCGGGCUCAAGGAGCGAGAGGGAGGGUAUAUGUGACUGAGUGCAUCUAUGAUUCUUAUCUCCUUUUGUAAUGCGGACACCCUCUGGGCAAAUCGCACACAAGCACACACAUAAACACACACAAUGUAAACCUGCCGUGACAGCAGUCAGAGACACCCUAUGUGGUCACAUGUUCUCCUGCCCUGACUCAGACAUGCACUGAGAGAAAAGAAAAAAAAAAGAGAGCUACAACCACUUUCUCUGUGUUAUUCGUCACUGAUUUACUGUAAUUUCUACAACAAUCCCUGACUGCGAAGAGAAGUGACGCGAACGGACAUCAUACCGCAAUUUGAAAUUGUUCCACUGCGUUGCUUCAAUCAGUAGUUCGAAGGCGUUGCUGUUUUUAAAUUGGAAUCAGAAGACCAAUUAGGCUUCGUUUGCUGAAAAUGCUCUGAAGCUGGGCCGCUGGAGCUCAGAAGCAGAUGCAAAAACACAACUACAUGAGAUCAAUAGCAACAUGCACAGAGCGCUCAGUCGGUGGUUUAGGGCGCAUGUGGUAGAGGUCGAAAAAUCUGCAAGAAGAAUGAAAUAAACCGCAGCAAAAACAGCGUGAGUGACACAAACACUGUGGAGUAUUGCAUCAAUAUAAUCAGAAAAAAAGUUAUCUAGUACUUUUAGAAACCAAGACUAAUAGCAACGUGGCACAGUAACAAGAAAUGUUCAAAUACAUAUCUAUGGAUCACAGAAAAUAUUAAUGUACACAUUUUAUACAUGGACCUGCAUCCUAAUACAUUAUAAUUGAAUUAAAUGGCUAAAU